rnacentral:rRNA from 1 species
UACACUCCUACGGGAGGCAGCAGUGGGGAAUUUCGGACAAUGGGCGGAAGCCUGAUCCAGCAAUGCCGCGUGAGUGAAGAAGGCCUUCGGGUUGUAAAGCUCUUUUGUCAGGGAAGAAACGGUGAGAGCUAAUAUCUCUUGCUAAUGACGGUACCUGAAGAAUAAGCACCGGCUAACUACGUGCCAGCAGCCGCGGUAAUACGUAGGGUGCAAGCGUUAAUCGGAAUUACUGGGCGUAAAGCGUGCGCAGGCGGUUUUGUAAGUCUGAUGUGAAAUCCCCGGGCUCAACCUGGGAAUUGCAUUGGAGACUGCAAGGCUAGAAUCUGGCAGAGGGGGGUAGAAUUCCACGUGUAGCAGUGAAAUGCGUAGAUAUGUGGAGGAACACCGAUGGCGAAGGCAGCCCCCUGGGUCAAGAUUGACGCUCAUGUACGAAAGCGUGGGGAGCAAACAGGAUUAGAUACCCCAGUAGUCCC